GAUGAACGCUGGCGGCGUGCCUAAUACAUGCAAGUCGAGCGAAUGGAUUAAGAGCUUGCUCUUAUGAAGUUAGCGGCGGACGGGUGAGUAACACGCGGGUAACCUGCCCAUAAGACUGGGAUAACUCCGGGAAACCGGGGCUAAUACCGGAUAACAUUUUGAACCGCAUGGUUCGAAAUUGAAAGGCGGCUUCGGCUGUCACUUAUGGAUGGACCCGCGUCGCAUUAGCUAGUUGGUGAGGUAACGGCUCACCAAGGAAACGAUGCGUAGCCGACCUGGGAGGGUGAUCGGCCACACUGGGACUGAGACACGGCCCAGACUACUACGGGAGGCAGCAGUAGGGAAUCUUCCGCAAUGGACGAAAGUCUGACGGAGCAACGCCGCGUGAGUGACGAAGGCUUUCGGGUCGUAAAACUCUGUUGUUAGGGAAGAACAAGUGCUAGUUGAAUAAGCUGGCACCUUGACGGUACCUAACCAGAAAGCCACGGCUAACUACGUGCCAGCCGCCGCCGUAA
rnacentral:rRNA from 1 species